rnacentral:rRNA from 1 species
GACGAACGCUGGCGGCGUGCCUAACACAUGCAAGUCGAGCGGGGGGAGUACUUCGGUACAAACCUAGAGGCGGGCGGGUGAGUAACACGUAGGUAACCUGCCUCACAGUGGGGGAUAGCCUUCCGAAAGGAAGAUUAAUACCGCAGAACCGAUAGCUUCCGCAUGGAAGCAAUGGUACAGAUUUAUCGCUUUGAGAUGGACCCGAGGCGCAUUAGCUAGUUGGUGAGGUAACGGCUAACCAAGGCGACGAUGCGUAGCCGACCUGAGAGGGUGAUCGGCCACAUUGGAACUGAGACACGGUCCAGACUCCUACGGGAGGCAGCAGUGGGGAAUAUUGCACAAUGGGCGAAAGCCUGAUGCAGCAACGCGGCGUGAGUGAUGAAGGCCUUCGGGUUGUAAAGCUCUGUCUUUUGGGACGAUAAUGACGGUACCAAAGGAGGAAGCCACGGCUAACUACGUGCCAGCAGCCGCGGUAAGAC